GGAUUAGGCAUGCAAGUCGAACGGCAGCACGGGCUUCGGCCUGGUGGCGAGUGGCGAACGGGUGAGUAAUGCAUCGGAACGUGCCCAUUUGUGGGGGAUAACGCGGCGAAAGUCGCGCUAAUACCGCAUACGCCCUGAGGGGGAAAGCGGGGGAUUCUUCGGAACCUCGCGCAAUUGGAGCGGCCGAUGUCAGAUUAGCUAGUUGGUAGGGUAAAGGCCUACCAAGGCGACGAUCUGUAGCGGGUCUGAGAGGAUGAUCCGCCACACUGGGACUGAGACACGGCCCAGACUCCUACGGGAGGCAGCAGUGGGGAAUUUUGGACAAUGGGGGCAACCCUGAUCCAGCCAUGCCGCGUGAGUGAAGAAGGCCUUCGGGUUGUAAAGCUCUUUCGGCCGGGAAGAAAUCGGCGACUCUAACAUAGUCGCUGGAUGACGGUACCGGACUAAGAAGCACCGGCUAACUACGUGCCAGCAGCCGCGGUAAUACGUAGGGUGCGAGCGUUAAUCGGAAUUACUGGGCGUAAAGCGUGCGCAGGCGGUUUUGUAAGACAGAUGUGAAAUCCCCGGGCUUAACCUGGGAACUGCGUUUGUGACUGCAAGGCUAGAGUACGGCAGAGGGGGGUGGAAUUCCUGGUGUAGCAGUGAAAUGCGUAGAUAUCAGGAGGAACACCGAUGGCGAAGGCAGCCCCCUGGGCCUGUA
rnacentral:rRNA from 1 species